AUAUGUUUGUGAAGGGACCAAGGCACACACGAAAAGAAUCAGCCUGCAUACAUCGAUAUUCGAUACAGAUAUUUAAAAUACAAUUGAUGAAUUCAAACAUGAUUAAAUUACAUUAGCUUUUGACCUUUUCGACUGCUCUAUUGAAUGUAUCCAAUGUUAUUUAUUUGGCGCUGUUCACAAGAGCUAUGGAGUACUCUAGUGAAAGGACGUCAAGGAAGUUUUGUAUCCAUUGAAUUAUGCUAAGUUAUGUGGAGGCUUCCAUCUGGUCACUAACAUCCUUUUUGUCACAGUCAGGCCAGACAACCACACUCAUUUCUGGGAUACUGUGAGAGUCAGUGAAGAGUCAUUGUUCAACAAUAAUAUAUUGGGGGAGAUAGGGAAUGGGAACACCAACUGUGCUCGGUAGAGAACUGGCAACCUGUGACCAAAAGGUCUUCACACUGGGGCAGUCCCACAUCAUUUGCACGUCCGUAUUGAGUGGCAGAUGAUUGGUCCAAACUGAGAACAGCAAAACUUAGGAGGUUCAGUGCAUGGCCCAGACCCCACGUCACCACCUCUUCCCUGUCACCAUCAAAAUCACAAUCCCUUCUGGCAGGAUCCAUCAUCUGGUUGGCAGACCGGGUGCCAUCCAGUCCGCCUCGCCUCCCUCCCGGGGGACCAGCCGGCACGGGGAGACGGAGAGGGAGACGCACAGAAGCCUCCCAGGCUCGGCAGCAGCUGGGCGGGUAGACAAGGGAGAGGUGCACAUGUGAGCAGUUUGAGGAACUCUGAAGCAACAGAAGAACAGACUCAAUUCGUCGUGGCAUGGACUACAAGGUGUCUAAAGCGUUCCACAGGGAUGCUGGCCAAUGUUGACUCCAGUGCUUCCAGGUUGGUUGGAUGUCCUUCGGGUGGUGGACCAUUCUUGAUACACACGGGAGCGUUGCAGUUCUUGACACUCAAACCGGUGCGCCUACAAUAUCCUGUUCAAAGACAUUUAAAUAUUUGUCUUGCCUAAUCACCAUCUGAAUGACACACAUACAGAAUCCAUGUCUCUAUUGUCUCAAUACAUAAAGAAGGAUUUGUAAUUGUAAAAUGUCUGUAGGGUGGGGUCUAAGUCGGUUAAACAUGGUCAUACUGUCAAUCAUUUAGCCAUUUGAUUUUGAAUUUAAGGACCCUUUAAGGUAUCCCCCCAAAAAACAUACAAAGUUUAUUCAAUAAAAUAUUGAAUUUUUCCUUUACUACUAUAGCCCAGAGAAACGCAUUGAAUAACACAUUCAUAAUGGCAAAAAAGACAUCAAAGAUACAAGGUUUUCAAGUUGGUGUCCUAUAUCUAGGACAAAAACACAACAUGCAACAUUUUCAAAGAUUUUACCAGGUUACAAUUCAUAUAAGGAAAUCAGUCAAUUGAAAUAAAUUCCUUAGGCCCUAAUCUAUGACAUGACUGGGAAUACAGAUAUUCAUAUGUUGGUCACAGACACAGACAAAAGGUAGGGGCGUGGAUCAGCAAACCACUCGGAAAACCAGUCAGUGUUACCACCCUUUUCCCUUAAUAUGAUGUUCUAUUUAGUCCACCAGGUUGUGCACACACUUCUCUGAUGGCUACUGUGUGCAAACUAUGCGCUGGUGUUCUUGGCGACAUUCUAUUGCUGUAACAUGCGUCACUCACAUGUGUGUCUGUUUUCUGCUUUCCCACCACCCACCCGAGCCUCCACCUGUUUGGUUCUGUGUUUCCUUCCUACAUGGGGAUUGGUAUAGCAUACCUUGCUCUCUGCCUGUAAUUAUCAUUAUCUUAACAUUAUGUAUGCUUUGGCAGUGAGUUACUCCAAAGGAGCAGAGCCUAACGCAUAGACUAACAUAUUGCAUGUAUUGUAAUAUUUUCUAAUAAAUGGUCAAACGAA